GGCUCCGUGGUGAGUAGUCCGCGUCUGCACUUCAUAAAAGGUAGUCCAGAGGAUUUUGCAGAAGAUGCCUGUUCGAAUCAGGCCGGAGCCG